rnacentral:rRNA from 1 species
AAUAGAUACCCAGGUAGUCCACACUGUAAACGUUGAUGACUCGCUGUUGGCGAUACACAGCCAGCGGCCAAGCGCAAGCGAUAAGUCAUCCACCUGGGGAGUACGCCGGCAACGGUGAAACUCAAAGGAAUUGACGGGGGUCCGCACAAGCGGUGAAGCAUGUGGUUUAAUUCGAUGAUACGCGAGGAACCUUACCUGGGCUAGAAUGCCCAUGACCGGUCCAGAGAUGGACUCUUCCGCAAGGACAUGGAGCAAGGUGCUGCAUGGCUGUCGUCAGCUCGUGCCGUGAGGUGUUGGGUUAAGUCCCGCAACGAGCGCAACCCCGUAUUCUUAGUUGCCAGCAUGUUAUGGUGGGGACUCUAAGAAGACUGCCUGCGCAAGCAGAGAGGAAGGAGGGGAUGACGUCAAGUCAUCAUGGCCCUUACGCCCAGGGCUACACACGUGCUACAAUGGCGUAUACAGAGUGUUGCAAGCUGGUGACAGUGAGCC